UGGGAAUCCAAAGAUUUAAAACCGUUUAAUUCAGUAGUUUAUAUGUAUUCACUGACAUCAGAAGGAAUUUAUCACAAAUUAGUGCGAACUGAUGGGCAAACUGAAAUGUUUUGCUAGCUUUUAGCCGGUUCCAACUCUAAUUGAUCAUUCUAAGUUCAAUGAGACGCGUCUUUGAUAACCUGGCCCAAUACGAAUUUUAAUUAGGAUUAAAAUUCUCUUAUUUUAACUCAUACAUUUUAAUGAACAACCACAACCAAAUCACUGAUGGAAGCCAUGGAAACAACGACGAGAAAGGAAACACCUACUGUGCACCGGUUUUUGAAGUCUACGAUUUGCCAUUAACAGAACCGUCAGAGGACCCCAUCAACAAUCAACAAGAAUAUCGCAAUGAAUUAAAUGAAUUGAGAGAUAUGGAUUUGACGUCGAUUUAUUUUAAAAUAAAAGUGACAACGAGCCGGGAUCAACCCAGUUUGAUUAUGAAGAUAUAGACGAACAUAAAAGUGGCACAAAUCUAUUAAAAACUAACGAAGACAAUGUGAAAACGGCGUCUGAUGACUAUUCAAAUGAAAGACACUACCAAUAUGCAAUCUAUGUUAACAAUUCGAAACCGAAUGGACGUAUUGUGAUGUUUGUGGUAAUUACGUCAGCUAUGCUCACACAGGCAUUAGAAUCCACUUGUCCCGCGAUUCUUACAUAUGACAAACUUUAUUCCGAGAGCGUGAACUUAGUCAUUCAUUUCCCAUUUAUUCGAUAACAAUGAAUGGAAGCAUUAAAUGUGACAAUUGUGACGAUGUAAUGUAAAAAAAACAUUCAUAAACAUAACAUUUUUAUAUUUUUGCCUUGUUGGUAGUAUUGACGUGUUAUGGAUAUAAAAGUGUUGCAUAUGAAAGGAGUAACUUUAAGCGGCAAUCUGCGUUUUUAGCUCAACUGUGCACAACGUGCUCAUGGUGAGCUUUUGUAAUCGCCUUUUGUCCGUCGUGCGUCGUGAGCCGUAAACAUUUGCCAUGUUAACUCUCCAGAGGCCACAUUUAAUGUCCAAUCUUCUUGAAGUUUGGUCAGAAGAUUGGUCUCAAUGAUAUCUUGGAUGAGUUUGGAAAUGGUUACGUUUGCUUGAAAAACAUGGCUGCAAAAGGGCGAGGCAUUUUUCCUUAUAUGGCUAUAUAUGGCUGUAGUAAAAUCUUGUUAACACUCUAGAGGCCACAUUUAUUGUCUGAUCUUCAUGAAACUUGGUCAGAAGAUUCAUACCAUUAAUAUCUUAGACGAGUUCGAAAAUGAUGCCGAUUGGUUGAAAAACAUGGCCGCCAUGGGGCGGGGCAUUUUUCCUUAUAUGGCUUUAGUAAAACCUUGUUAACACUCUAGAGGCCACAUUUAUUUUCCGAUCUUAAUGAAACUUGCUCAGAAAAUUUGUCCCGAUGAUAUAUUGGAUGAUUUCAAAAUUGGUAAUCUUUGCUUGAAAAACAUGGCUGCUGUGAGGCGGGGCAUUUUUCCUUAUAUGGCUAUAGUAAAAUCUUAUUAACACUCUAGAGACCACAUUUAUUGUCCAAUCUUCAUGAAACUUGGUAAGAAGAUUCAUCCCAAUAAAAACUUGGACGAGUUCAAAAUGAUGCUCUUUUGUUGAAAAAAAUGGAGGCGAAGGGGCGGGGGCAUUUUUCCUUAUAUGGCUAUAGUUAAACCUUGUUGACACUAGAGGCCACAUUUAUUUUCCGAUCUUCAUGAAAGUUGGUCAUAAUUCCCAUUAGUAUCUUGGACGAGUAUGAAAAUAAUGCCAGUUGGCUGAAAAAUAUGAUUGCCAGGGGGCGGGCCAUUUUUCCUUAUAUGGCUAUAGUAAAACCUUGUUACACUUUAGAGGCCACAUUUUUCCGAUCAUCAUGAAACUUUGUCGGAAGAUUUGUCCCCGUGAUAUAUCGCAACAGUAAGAAAAUGGUUCCGGUUGCUUUCAAAACAUGGCCACCAGGGUGCAGAGCUUUUCCCUUAUAUAGCUAUAUAGGGCUUUAGUAAAACCUUGUUAAAACUUUAGCGGGGCUUUUUUAGCUCACCUGAGCACAAUUCGAAAACGUUGCCAGUUGGUUGAAAAACAUGGUUGCCAAGGCGGCGGGGCAUGUUUAGCUCACCUGAGCACAACGUGCUCGUGAUGAGCUUUUGUGAUCGCCUUUUGUCCGUCGUGCGGCGUCAACAUUUUGAGUUGUGACCACUCCAGAGGCCACAUUUAUUGUCCGAUCUACGUUAAACCAGGUCAGAACAUUUGUCCCAUUGAUACCUCGACUGAGUUUGAAACUGGGUCAUGCUGGGUCAAAAACUAGGUCACUAGGUCAAAAAAGAGAAAAACCUUGUGAACACUGUAGAAGUCACAGUUGAUGCCCAAACUUUAUUUAACUUUGUCAAAAUGUUUGUCUAAAUAAUAUGUUAGUUGAGUUCAAAAAUGGUUCCGGUCCCUUUAAAAAUAUGGCCGCCAGGGGCUGGGGCAGUACUCCUUAUAUGGCUUUAGAGAAACCUUGUGAACACUCUAGAAGUCACAAUUUGUGCCCAAUCAUCAUGAAACUUGAUCAAAACAUUGGUUUUAUUGAUAUCUCGGACGCGUUCGAAAAUGGUGCAGAUCGGUGAAAAAACAUGGCCGCCACGGGGCGGGGCAGAUUUCUCUAUAUGUAUAUAGUGAAAACAUGUGAACACUCGAGAAGUCACAUGUUCGGUCCAAUCUGCAUGACAUUUGGUCAGAACAUGUGUUUUCUGAAUAUGACGGUUGAGUUGGAAAAUGGUUCGGAUCGGUAAAAAAUCAUAGCCGCCAGGGGGGGGGGGGCAUUUUCCUUAUAUUUAUAUAGUAAAAAAAGCUUCUUUUGCCUUAUCAUAAUAAUUUGUUUUCUUAACAUCAAUUUUAUAGAUUUCUCGGACGAGAUGAAAAAUGGUAAUGAUGGGUAGAAAAACAUGGCCACCAGGGGUGGGGCAGUUAUCUCUAUAUGUAUAUAGUGAAAACAUGUGAACAGUCUAGUUCAGUCAGUCAGUCAUAAGCCAUUAUGUUAAAGAAAGAUAACCUGUACAUACUUUCUAAUAGUUAACUCUCCUGUAUAAACCUGGUACUUGCUCCUUAAUAUGUGGUGUACAUAAAGACCGUAGUUUGCUUUCAAUUUAAUAAACCUAUUGUUUAUAUGUCAUAAAAUAACUGUGCAUGUACUAAUGCACUGUAGAGCCUCAUCUUUUAUCUUUACUGAUAAGCCAAGUUAACCCACUGUGUUUUGGUGUAUUGAUUGAACAUCUUCUAAGAUCAAUUGGAUUGGGAUAAUCAAUUAUCUCAGCAGACUAGUGUGCUAUGAAACUGUUUCCAUGGCAACCUUUACUCCAGUAAAAUGCACUGGCUUACCUGUACAUAUUUAGUGCAGUUGAUAAUGACCAUCCAUAAAGGAGACAUAAUGCUGAUCAUUUUCGUGCAUCUUUUUCAUUAUAGGGUGCCAUUAUUUUGCAUUUACAUGUGUUUAUACUUUGUGUACAUACUGUAAUUCAAUUCUUUCAGAGUAGUGUUUAGAUGAUGUUUAAUGUUUCAACCUCCAGUAACUAAUUAAUGACACAAGUCUGUCAUCUGAUUUCAUUAUGUAUUAUUUUGACUCUUAUUUUUAUACAUGAAUUUUAGUUGUCAUGUUUCCUUUGUCUAAGCUGAGGAGUCACAGAGGGAGGGGCUAAAAUGCCUUGUCUUGGAUCCUUAUCUGUCAAUCAAAAUAUCAACACUCCUCUUAGACUAUGCAAACGCCAAUAAAAAUUGAGAUAAGCCCAGAAAAGAUGUAUUGAAGUAUAUUAUUGUAUGUUGACUAUUGGCCAAUGUCCUUCUAGUCUGAGAGUGUAUACAACAUGCUGCACAGGGCUUAUCAGCAUCUCGAAAACUAAUUUUUACUGCUUAAAGAAUCUGCGUCACUGGUAAUGAAUUUAUAUUUUGGACAUUGAAGUUUCUAGAAAUGGACAUUUGGGAAAUUAACCAACAUCUAAGAUAGUUUAUUAGAGAACAGAGAUGAAUAUGAUUCCAUUUUUAUAAGUUUGAUGAUUCUCACUUACUAUUGAACUAAGUAAUUUUUGGAACAUUUUCAAUCGUGAUCAGUUUCUAUGUGUACUUAAACUAUUGGGAACAAAGCUAUCUUACGUUAAACUGCGGAGAGAAAAGGUCAUUUCUUUGUAUCUCAGGUGAGCGACUUUGGGCCUUUCAGACCCUCUUGUUAUAAAAAGGACUUAUUAAGCCGAUUUUAAUAUAGCUCUUCUUAUCGCAUUCAGAUGUUUAUGUUCUGUAUAAUGGCAACAUUUUAUUUCUUGAACAUAUGCAUGGUUAUGCAGCGAAUUUCAAGAAAAAGAAUGUAUUCGUUAUAUGAAAAUAAUUUUUCACUGGGGACAUAGGACAAGGUAAUAUUAUUUAUAUGGAUCAUUAUUAUUUUAUGUUAAAAACAGAAGACGACAGGAAUGAAGAAUGGUUAAACAUGAACUGUUUGCGUUGACGGAGACUUUAUUUUCAAAUCGUUUACUAGAUAUAACGUGCGUAUGAAAUAAGUCAACAGUACAUGUUUGUGCGUUUGUUUUUUUUUUGGGGGGGGGGCAUCAUCAAUUAAAAGGACGGACAAGGCAUCGCACAAUAUGUCACCCGAACGUGAAAAUAUAGCAACAAGUUAAUGUUGCAACAAAAGGUACGUAAUCAAUAACAUAAAAUAAAUUCCUUUGUCUCGUGUUGAGUAUUAAAUACAUGUACGUGCGUAAACGUUAGGAAAUUGGCCUUUUACCAUACAAAAUAUAUGAUAAAAAACAUAAUCGCGUUAGCUGCUUUAUAGUACCGGAAUUUGUUGCAGAAAAAAUACUAAUGUACUAGAAAUAUCUGUUGAAUUUUCUUUUUUAAUUUAUAAUUGUAAGGAUGUUAAUUGUUUCUUGGCUAUUUAUACAUGAUUUGUUUUAUUAUUGCGAUUAAAUGGACUAACAAAU